rnacentral:tRNA from 1 species
GUUUAAAUAGCUUAAAUUGUCCAAUAAUAAAGCAUAAAAUUUUUAAUUUUAAGAUACUAAUGUUUUAAACA